rnacentral:rRNA from 1 species
GGUUAAGCGACUAAGCGUACACGGUGGAUGCCUAGGCAGUCAGAGGCGAUGAAGGGCGUGCUAAUCUGCGAUAAGCGUCGGUAAGCUGAUAUGAAGCGUUAUACCCGACGAUACCCGAAUGGGGAAACCCAGUGUGUUUCGACACACUAUCAUUACGUGAAUACAUAGCGUAAUGAGGCGAACCGGGGGAACUGAAACAUCUCAGUACCCCGAGGAAAAGAAAUCAACCGAGAUUCCCCUAGUAGCGGCGAGCGAACGGGGAGGAGCCCAGAACCUGAAUCAGUUUGUGUGUUAGUGGAAGCGUCUGGAAAGUCGCACAGUAAAGGGUGAUAGUCCCGUACACAAAAAUGCACAAAUUGUGAGUUCGAUGAGUAGGGCGGGACACGUGACAUCCUGUCUGAAUAUGGGGGGACCAUCCUCCAAGGCUAAAUACUCCUGACUGACCGAUAGUGAACCAGUACCGUGAGGGAAAGGCGAAAAGAACCCCGGCGAGGGGAGUGAAAUAGAACCUGAAACCGUGUACGUACAAGCAGUGGGAGCCUUGAUUAAUCAGGGUGACUGCGUACCUUUUGUAUAAUGGGUCAGCGACUUAUAUUCUGUAGCAAGGUUAACCGUAUAGGGGAGCCGCAGGGAAACCGAGUCUUAACUGGGCGUUAAGUUGCAGGGUAUAGACCCGAAACCCGGUGAUCUAGCCAUGGGCAGGUUGAAGGUUGGGUAACACUAACUGGAGGACCGAACCGACUAAUGUUGAAAAAUUAGCGGAUGACUUGUGGCUGGGGGUGAAAGGCCAAUCAAACCGGGAGAUAGCUGGUUCUCCCCGAAAGCUAUUUAGGUAGCGCCUCGUGAAUUCAUCUUCGGGGGUAGAGCACUGUUUCGGCUAGGGGGUCAUCCCGACUUACCAACCCGAUGCAAACUACGAAUACCGAAGAAUGUUAUCACGGGAGACACACGGCGGGUGCUAACGUUCGUCGUGAAGAGGGAAACAACCCAGACCGCCAGCUAAGGUCCCAAAGUCAUGGUUAAGUGGGAAACGAUGUGGGAAGGCACAGACAGCCAGGAUGUUGGCUUAGAAGCAGCCAUCAUUUAAAGAAAGCGUAAUAGCUCACUGGUCGAGUCGGCCUGCGCGGAAGAUGUAACGGGGCUAAACCAUGCACCGAAGCUGCGGCAGCGACACUUAGGUGUUGUUGGGUAGGGGAGCGUUCUGUAAGCCGUCGAAGGUGGCCUGUGAGGGCUGCUGGAGGUAUCAGAAGUGCGAAUGCUGACAUAAGUAACGAUAAUGCGGGUGAAAAACCCGCACGCCGGAAGACCAAGGGUUCCUGUCCAACGUUAAUCGGGGCAGGGUGAGUCGACCCCUAAGGCGAGGCUGAAAAGCGUAGUCGAUGGGAAACAGGUUAAUAUUCCUGUACUCGGUGUUACUGCGAAGGGGGGACGGAGAAAGCUAGGUUAUCCGGGCGACGGUUGUCCCGGUUUAAGCGUGAAGGUGGAUGACUUUGGUAAAUCCGGGUCGUCAUUAACACUGAGGCGUGAUGACGAGUCACUACGGUGAUGAAGUAACCGAUGCUACGCUUCCAGGAAAAGCCUCUAAGCUCCAGGUAACAUCAAAUCGUACCCCAAACCGACACAGGUGGUCAGGUAGAGAAUACUCAGGCGCUUGAGAGAACUCGGGUGAAGGAACUAGGCAAAAUGGUGCCGUAACUUCGGGAGAAGGCACGCUGAUGGUAGGUGAAGUGACUUGCUCACGGAGCUGAAAUCAGUCGAAGAUACCAGCUGGCUGCAACUGUUUAAUAAAAACACAGCACUGUGCAAACACGAAAGUGGACGUAUACGGUGUGACGCCUGCCCGGUGCCGGAAGGUUAAUUGAUGGGGUCAGCCGCAAGGCGAAGCUCUUGAUCGAAGCCCCGGUAAACGGCGGCCGUAACUAUAACGGUCCUAAGGUAGCGAAAUUCCUUGUCGGGUAAGUUCCGACCUGCACGAAUGGCGUAAUGAUGGCCAGGCUGUCUCCACCCGAGACUCAGUGAAAUUGAACUCGCUGUGAAGAUGCAGUGUACCCGCGGCAAGACGGAAAGACCCCGUGAACCUUUACUAUAGCUUGACACUGAACCUUGAGCCUUGAUGUGUAGGAUAGGUGGGAGGCUUUGAAGCGUGGACGCCAGUCUGCGUGGAGCCAACCUUGAAAUACCACCCUUUAAUGUUUGAUGUUCUAACGUGGGCCCGUAAUCCGGGUUGCGGACAGUGUCUGGUGGGUAGUUUGACUGGGGCGGUCUCCUCCCAAAGCGUAACGGAGGAGCACGAAGGUUAGCUAAUCCUGGUCGGACAUCAGGAGGUUAGUGCAAAGGCAUAAGCUAGCUUGACUGCGAGAGUGACAGCUCGAGCAGGUGCGAAAGCAGGUCUUAGUGAUCCGGUGGUUCUGAAUGGAAGGGCCAUCGCUCAACGGAUAAAAGGUACUCCGGGGAUAACAGGCUGAUACCGCCCAAGAGUUCAUAUCGACGGCGGUGUUUGGCACCUCGAUGUCGGCUCAUCACAUCCUGGGGCUGAAGUAGGUCCCAAGGGUAUGGCUGUUCGCCAUUUAAAGUGGUACGCGAGCUGGGUUUAGAACGUCGUGAGACAGUUCGGUCCCUAUCUGCCGUGGGCGUUGGAAGAUUGAGAGGGGUUGCUCCUAGUACGAGAGGACCGGAGUGAACGCACCACUGGUGUUCGGGUUGUGAUGCCAAUUGCAUUGCCCGGUAGCUAAGUGCGGAAGAGAUAACCGCUGAAAGCAUCUAAGCGGGAAACUUGCCUCGAGAUGAGUCUUCCCUGGGCACUAGAUGCCCCUGAAGGGCCGUUGAAGACGACGACGUAGAUAGGCUGGGUGUGUAAGCGUAGCGAUACGUUGAGCUAACCAGUACUAAUGACCCGAGAGGCUUAACCUU